rnacentral:rRNA from 1 species
AACGGGUGAGUAAUGCGUGACCAACCUGCCCCAUGCUCCAGAAUAGCUCUUGGAAACGGGUGGUAAUGCUGGAUGCUCCAACUUGACGCAUGUCUUGUUGGAAAGUGUUAGUGGCAUGGGAUGGGGUCGCGUCCUAUCAGCUUGUAGGCGGGGUAAUGGCCCACCUAGGCUUCGACGGGUAGCCGGCCUGAGAGGGCGGACGGCCACAUUGGGACUGAGAUACGGCCCAGACUCCUACGGGAGGCAGCAGUA